rfam:Streptomyces violaceusniger Tu 4113, complete genome.
CUUCACCGAACCCAACCACAACGGCCGACCCGGAUCCCGAUCCUGACCGUACGUGGCCAACAGAGCCUGCGCCUC